GUCCCAGGCAUUCAUGGGCAGCCAGGGCAUCAAUAGCAAGCAGCUUCCAUGUGGCCAUUCAUACAAGCUAACCUGAAGGGCCUGACUCCUAACCAGUGACCUGUGUGACCACAGCAUGGGAAGGGGACCAUGGCUGCUCAGAAGUCUGAGUUAAACCAAGGUUUCACCCUAGAUAUGUGCAUGUGGGCCCAGGGUGGCCAAUCUUCCCUCACCAGUGAGGGAAGUGAGGGGACUCUUUAGGAAUGAUCCUGUCAGGGCAGACUAUGGGAAAUAGGACUGUUUCCAUUGAGCAUCCAAUGACUAGGAUUGCCAGACCUGAGAGAUGACCUGGUUGGUAUGCUGAUUCAGAGAAGACACCUUCACAGUAGCCCCAGGGACCUGUGUGGAUGUUGACUUGGAAUCUGAAUUUCUCCUGCAGUGGGAAGGUAAGACAGCUGUCAGUUUUGCCAAGCAAAGCAAGUCCUGACCCCCAUGUUGAAGCCCAUGCAUCUCUGACAGCUCUCUGAACUUAGAGGGCUGGUGAUUGCUCCAUUUGGCAUUGUCUGGGGCUCAUCCCUCCUUUACUGCCCUGUUUUCUGAUCGUCAGGCCUGCUGAGCUCUCUCUUUCCCUCUGUAAGCUUGGAGUCUUGGAGCAAAAUGUCCUCCAAGUCUUUGAUUCUAAACAGGAGUUGGACCAAGCUCCAGGUUUCCACAGGAAAGGCCUGUGGACUGCUCCAAUCCAAUUACCUGAAUGUGUCUGCAUUCACCAGCGGCUGUGAGAUCAGGCCAGCCCAUUCUGCCUAGAUGCUGCUGCGGAGGAGUUGGCAUGGCAACGUGUGCUCUGAGCUGCUGAAACUUGGAGUCAGCUCAUCGCUAGGAGGACAGAAAGACUGACGAGAGACAGAUGCUUUUCUGAGUUGGGGGAGGGGUUGAAAGAGCCAUAUGCCUGACAGAAUUGGGGUUUAGGGUCUACCAUAGAUACAUAGUCUGUAGCAGUGAUGCGCACCCCCCCCAUACACACACAGACACAGGCAAAUGCCUAUUCAUAUUUCUCAAUCCAAAGCACCCCAGCUCCACCUACAUCCUCCUGCUUGGCUUCAGUUCUCUGGCAGUGGCAGACACACUGCCCUGCUCCGCUUCAAGGUGAUAUAACAGCCAGCCACAGUGAGCAGCACCAUGGUCCCCCGACACCACUGGGACCAUUCUAAGUGUUCCCUGGAACUCCUAUCAGACCACUUAGGAAAGAAGUCUACAUUUUCUCUGAGCUAGAAGACCACAACGAGAGCCUGCAGCUUCUAGAGCCUUCCUUGAGAAGGAACCCAGCUCAGGGAGAAACAGACCUUAGGGCUAGACUGGAGAAUAGCCAAGUCUUCAUAAUAUAUUUGAGCUCUGAUCUGUCUGAAGCCACACAGCCUGUAGACUUCCUAGUUUGUGAGCCAGAAAAUCUCUUUUCUUUGCUCCAGUCGCCUUUGAGUCUUUCUGUCACUUAGCACUAAAGAGGCUUUGUUUUAUCUGUGUCCGCCAGGUACAUGACGUUUCUAAAGCUACGUUUUUCUCAGAUGUGCAUUAACUCCUGUGCUGCCCCCAGCUGUGCCCUGGCAGAGAGUAGAGCCAUCCUCCUGAGUCAAGGCCCUAGAGGUCUGUGUGCCUCAAGGCAUCCCUUGGAGACAGCAAUCUGAGCAGACAGAAGCUGCAAUCACAAGCUCUGAGUGCAGCACCAGCUCUGUCUCACCAGAGCAAUGGCCUCUUCCAUAUCCACCUGCUCUCAGCAGCCUGAAGUUCUGCCUCUGGAGCCCUUGGGCUGGAUUCCCACAGCCAUGCCCCAGCUCAGGCCGAUCCUCUCCACCCACCACAAACUGCAGCAGCCUCACUCAACUUCCCUGCAGCCAGCCCCUUCCUCUGGUUCACCUGGUCACUGGUGGGAUCUUCCUAACCUACACAAAAGACCACACUGCUUCUUCUUAAGUCCUUUGGUGGCUCUUGCUGAUGCUCCAUCCCCUGAGCCCAGCAGCCUGGCUUCUAUGUUUCUUACUUCUGGAGCCCCAAGAGCUCUGACCUGAGCAGUUUCCCAUGGAACCUUGCAGGAGCGGUUGCCUUGGCCCUAACUGUGCAGAAGGAUUCGGCUUCAGCGGAGGAGCCCAGCUUCCAGAGCGCAGUGACGAUUCUUUUGUCAAGUUUCAGCCAGUCCCACCCAUGGCUCCCAAGACCACUGCAGCCUUUGGCCUGCCUAAAAUAAACACAUAUGUCUUGGCAACUUUGCAGUCCGUACACCAGACACCAGAAAGGUGACCAGCUCCUGUCACAUAGAUUUGCCCAAAUGGCUCUGGAAAGGAGCAGACUUGAGAGCAAGAGGACAAGAAGGAUGACGACACAGGACCAGGGGCCACGAGCAGGGAGACAGGAAUGAAACAAACCAAAGCUCUUGGCACCCCAAAUGGGUACAGUUGACCCCCGUGAACAACGAGGAGACCGUGAUUCAGAGAGAUAAAUGGCAGAUCCUGAGAAGUGGCAGUUGGCUCAUGUGACUCCAGUUUCGCUUUUCUCUCUACUUUUCUUCCAAAGACUAAGUAUAAUUGAUAAGCAAACAUAUUCAAAACCACCCAGCACCAGGCCCUGUCCUGGGGAAGAGGAACACAUUCCUGCCCUGCCUGUCUUGUCCUCACUGCUUUUUUUUAGUCUCUUAAAGGUUAUAUCCAUCACCUGCUGCCCUGGUGUAGCCUGCAAUGAUCUUCUCCUUUCGGGGGGCCUGGCCUCACCAUUCCCACUUUCAUUUUCUCAUACAGUCACCCCUACCUUGGACUCUAAGUCUCCUUGCUCAUGGCCUGGUGACCUCCCUGGCAGCCCAGAAAACAUUUGUUCUGCCAGGAUUGGAAGGGUUCUUACAGUGGCCUUGGGGUUAGUGACCAUAGCGGGUCACUUUGUGUUCCUAUGUCUGCUUUUACCCCUGGAUUCUGAAUGUUCCGGAGUUUGAAUGCUUUCCCUGGUGCGAUCAAGAGCAUGGGUGAACUUUAAAGCUAAAUAUUUCUGAUAAAUAUUG